GCCAGUUUGGCUCAGUGGAUAGAGAGUUGGCCUGUGGACCAAAGGGUACUGGGUUUGGUUCCCAGAUUUGGUU
rnacentral:tRNA from 1 species